GUCGCGCGAGAAAGGGCUUCGGCCCCAGUAAAGCGGCGCACGGGUGAGUAACACGUAGGUCAUCUUCCCCUGAAUGGUGGAUAACUCUCCGAAAGGAGAGCUAAUACAGCAUAAGACCACGACCUCGCUGAGGUUGCGGCCAAAGCAGACCUCUUCAUGAAAGUUUGCGUUUAGGGAUGAGCCUGCGGCCCAUCAGCUAGUUGGUAGGGUAAUGGCCUACCAAGGCUAAGACGGGUAGCUGGUCUGAGAGGAUGAACAGCCACACUGGAACUGAGACAAGGUCCAGACUCCUACGGGAGGCAGCAGUGGGGAAUCUUGCGCAAUGGGCGAAAGCCUGACGCAGCGACGCCGCGUGAGCGAUGAAGGCCUUCGGGUUGUAAAGCUCUGUGGGGAGGGAAGAAUAAGUCAUGGCUAAUAUCCACGAUGAUGACGGUACCUCCUUAGCAAGCACCGGCUAACUCUGUGCCAGCAGCCGCGGUAAGACAGAGGGUGCAAACGUUGUUCGGAAUUACUGGGCGUAAAGCGCGUGUAGGCGGCUAAGUAAGUCGGGCGUGAAAUCCCACGGCUCAACCGUGGAAGUGCACUCGAAACUGCAUAGCUAGAGUCCUGGAGAGGAAGGUGGAAUGCUUGGUGUAGAGGUGAAAUUCGUAGAUAUCAAGCGGAACACCGGUGGCGAAGGCGGCCUUCUGGACAGUGACUGACGCUGAGACGCGAAAGCGUGGGGAGCAAACAGGAUUAGAUACCCUGGUAGUCCACGCCGUAAACGAUGAGUG
rnacentral:rRNA from 1 species